GUCCACGCCCUAAACGAUGUCAACUGGGUGUUGGGGGAGCGAUUCCUCAGUACCGUAGCUAACGCGUGAAGUUGACCGCCUGGGGAGUACGGCCGCAAGGUUAAAACUCAAAGGAAUUGACGGGGACCCGCACAAGCGGUGGAUGAUGUGGAUUAAUUCGAUGCAACGCGAACAACCUUACCUACCCUUGACAUGUCCGGAAGCCCGCCGAGAGGCGGGCGUGCCCGAAAGGGAAUCGGAACACAGGUGCUGCAUGGCUGUCGU
rnacentral:rRNA from 1 species